rfam:Heterocephalus glaber contig3702, whole genome shotgun sequence.
GGGGAUGUAGCUCAGUGGUAGAGCAUUUCCUUAGCAUGCAGGAGGCCCUGGGUUCCAUCCCCA